UGCGUAGGUGGCUUUUUAAGUCAGUGGUGAAAUACAGCCGCUCAACGGUUGAGGUGCCAUUGAUACUGAAGAGCUUGAAACAAGUGGAGGCUGCCGGAAUGGAUGGUGUAGCGGUGAAAUGCAUAGAUAUCAUCCAGAACACCGAUUGCGAAGGCAGGUGGCUACGUUUGAUUUGACACUGAGGCACGAAAGCAUGGGGAGCAAACAGGAUUAGAUACCCUGGUAGUCCAUGCCGUAAACGAUGAGGACUCGCUGUUGGGCUGUCAAGGUUCAGCGGCUUAGGGAAACCGUUAAGUCCUCCACCUGGGGAGUACGCCGGCAACGGUGAA
rnacentral:rRNA from 1 species